rnacentral:rRNA from 1 species
GUCGAGAAUCUUUCACAAUGGGGGCAACCCUGAUGGAGCGACGCCGCGUGGAGGAUAAGGUCUUCGGAUUGUAAACUCCUGUCAUGCGUGAACAAGGUUGCUUGGAUAAUACCUGAGCAAAUUGAUGGUAGCGCAAGAGGAAGAGACGGCUAACUCUGUGCCAGCAGCCGCGGUAAUACAGAGGUCUCAAGCGUUGUUCGGAAUCACUGGGCGUAAAGGGUGCGUAGGUGGCGUGGUAAGUCAGAUGUGAAAGCCAGGGGCUCAACCUCGGAACUGCAUGCGAUACUGCCAUGGUAGAGUACUGGAGAGGUGACUAGAAUUCUCGGUGUAGCAGUGAAAUGCGUAGAUAUCGAGAGGAAUACCAAAGGCGUAGGCAGGUCACUGGACAGUUACUGACACUGAGGCACGAAGGCCAGGGGAGCGAACGGGAUUAGAUACCCCUGUAGUCC